rnacentral:siRNA from 1 species
AUCCCGCCUUGCAUCAACUGAAU